rnacentral:rRNA from 1 species
GGUCAAGCUACAAAGGGCUCACGGUGGAUACCUUGGCACACAGAGGCGAUGAAGGACGUGGUUACCUGCGAUAAGUCUCGGGGAGCUGGAAGCACGCUUUGAUCCGGGAAUUUCCGAAUGGGGCAACCCCUAGUACGGCCAGCUGAAUCCAUAGGCUGGUGCGAGCCAACCCAG